CCAUGGUGGUGGAGGAUGGGGUCAGCCUCAUGGUGGUGGCGGUUGG
rfam:Hylomys suillus prion protein (PRNP) gene, partial cds.